CAAAAAUGAAUGUCUUUACGGACACACGUCACUUUCUCCGUUCUUUGGUUCUGUUUCUCUCUCCCUCUCGCUCACAAUCAUCGCCACAAACUGAGUCGAAUUCCAGCAGAUGUUUUGUGAAUCGAAAUUGAAAGGCGCUGACUUUGUUUCUGCCGGUUCUCUAUCUCUCUCUCGCUCUCGGUAAAAGCUUCAGAGACGAUCGGCUUUUCAAAGGAUCUGCCAUGACCAAACGUGGAGCUUACGAGGCUCUCUGCUCUCUCUUACAUGGCCGAUGCUGCUAAAACAGAAAGAAACCGUACCAGGAGCAAGAAGCUCUCACGCCAUAGCUCUCGUAGGCAACAGUAAGCGAUUUGAUUUUUAAUGAGUUUUGAGAUGAUUGCAGGAGAAUUGGAGAAUUUGGUGUGACUUUUGUUAAAACACUCUAAAAUCUCAUCUAAAACAGUGGGAUUUGGAUUUUUAUUUUUAUAACUAAGGAACUCCUCUCAAACACUCUAGAAACACUUAAAGUACUCUAAAAUCUCCAACUUAAAUUUUGUUCAAUAACAGUGGAUUUCAGAGUGUUUUAUAAAAUGUCAAGUUCAAUAACACUGGAUUUUAAAGUGUUUUUUAAAAUCCACGUUUGAAUAACAGUAGAUUUGUCAUUUUAAUACAAAUCACUUAAAACUCUUAGUUGAAUACACCCUCCUAAGUGUACGCUUUUGGGGGCGAGUUCCAGCCCCGUGUCCCCGUGGACAACCAUCUCCACGUUUUCGACCUCCACACUCUAACAUGGUCCAUCUAAGAUGGUUAGGUCUCACCGAUUCAUCACCAAAUAAGCGGCGUUUCUUGUUUUUCCCCGAUCAAUUAUGGCGGAGGAAGAUGUCAUCGCUUACCCCAUGCAGCCUUCCGACCACAAGCGCAAGCUUGAGAAUGUCGAAUCCGAGAUCCAAGUAAUGUGACGUUUAAUGCUUAUUACCACAAGACGGGGAAAGCUUCGGGGGUUGUGACUUUAAAGGAGUUGCUACGCUUACUACCACUGAUCCAAGUAGAGGAACGUGUGUGUUCCCUGGAAGGUAACUUUUAUCUUCUUCUUGACAAAAUAUUAGUAUUGUAACGAAUCAACCUCUCACCGUUUUUGUAUCAACUCGGAGAAGAUGAACAACUCCUAGUUCUUUGUUUCUUAAUUUUAGUUUCUUUCCUUGCAAAAGUUAAGAUAACAAUGCUCAGUCCCAGCAUUUGCUAUUGUUUUCAUGUUCUUAUCUUAAUAUAUCAUUUAAUCUACA